rnacentral:rRNA from 1 species
UACGAAGGGGGCUAGCGUUGCUCGGAAUUACUGGGCGUAAAGGGCGCGUAGACGGCACUGUUAGUCAGGCGUGAAAGUCCUGGGCUCAACCUGGGAACUGCGCUUGAUACGGCAGAGCUAGAGGAUGGAAGAGGGUCGCGGAAUUCCCAGUGUAGAGGUGAAAUUCGUAGAUAUUGGGAAGAACACCGGUGGCGAAGGCGGCGACCUGGUCCAUUACUGACGCUGAGGCGCGAAAGCCAGGGGAGCAAACGGG